UCUAUGGCAAAUUAGCAAUUAUAUUUAUGAAUUGAGAGCAAUUUCACAAGGUAAUCACGAACAGUAGAAGUUAACCCUAUAACCCAUGUUUGUCGUCUAAUCUAGAAACUCCCACGUACUGUUUCUUGAACAUUUCAUUAGUAAUUUUUUUCUUAUUUAGAUCCCCAACUAGCAAAUUCCGACUGUUUUUGACUGGUCAUGAUUUUAUUUCACAAGAUUUGUUAUCAUGUUUGAUGCUCACCUGUGUCUACCUUGGUAAGAAAUCGAAGGGAAAAUUAGAAUCCAUGGAAUAAUUGUUACGUUUGGAUUGAUUCCUUUUUUUUUUCUUUUUUUUUUUUUAAGUUUCAUGGCAGAUCCUUUGGGGAUAAGUAUCAGGAUUGGUUUCUAAUCUCCAUUUGUUUUAUAGUAAGUCCAACUCUUCGUAUGUUUCCCUUGGUCAUAUUACUGAUAUAUUUCACUUUUUUAUGUGACAUUUCCUGAAUAAUUUAAUCAACGAGAAUGGGAGGUGGAUUCAGAGUGCUCCAUCUGGUUCGACCUUUCCUUUCGUUUCUUCCAGAGGUUGAAAGUGCAGACAAGAAGGUUAUAUACGCUGUUAGAUCUCUGUUCAUUUUCCUUGUCUGCAUCCAACUUUCUAUUGUAUGGCAUACACUCUACAACUGGCGCAGAUCCAUUCUAUUGAAUGCGUGUGAUUCUCGCCUCAAACAGAGGCACAAUGAUGGAGCUUGGAAAUGCAG